UGGGGAAUUUUGGACAAUGGGCGAAAGCCUGAUCCAGCAAUGCCGCGUGUGUGAAGAAGGCCUUCGGGUUGUAAAGCACUUUUGUCCGGAAAGAAAUCCUUGGCUCUAAUACAGUCGGGGGAUGACGGUACCGGAAGAAUAAGCACCGGCUAACUACGUGCCAGCAGCCGCGGUAAUACGUAGGGUGCAAGCGUUAAUCGGAAUUACUGGGCGUAAAGCGUGCGCAGGCGGUUUGCUAAGACCGAUGUGAAAUCCCCGGGCGUCAACCUGGGAACUGCAUUGGUGACUGGCAGGCUAGAGUAUGGCAGAGGGGGGUAGAAUUCCACGUGUAGCAGUGAAAUACGUAGAGAUGUGGAGGAAUACCGAUGGCGAAGGCAGCCCCCUGGGCCAAGUACUGACGCUCAUGCACGAAAGCGUGGGGAGCAAAA
rnacentral:rRNA from 1 species